rnacentral:rRNA from 1 species
UACAGAGGGGGCAAGCGUUGUUCGGAAUUACUGGGCGUAAAGGGCGCGUAGGCGGCCUUCUAAGUCGAACGUGAAAUCCCCGGGCUCAACCCGGGAACUGCGUCCGAUACUGGAAGGCUUGAAUCCAGGAGAGGUGAGUGGAAUUCCGAGUGUAGAGGUGAAAUUCGUAGAUAUUCGGAAAGAACACCAGUGGCGAAGGCGGCUCACUGGACUGGUAUUGACGCUGAGGUGCGAAAGCGUGGGGAGCAAACAGG